rnacentral:rRNA from 1 species
UACGGAGGAUCCGAGCGUUAUCCGGAUUUAUUGGGUUUAAAGGGAGCGUAAGUGGAUUGUUAAGUCAGUUGUGAAAGUUUGCGGCUCAACCGUAAAAUUGCAGUUGAAACUGGCAGUCUUAAGUACAGUAGAGGUGGGCGGAAUUCGUGGUGUAGCGGUGAAAUGCUUAGAUAUCACGAAGAACUCCGAUUGCGAAGGCAGCUCACUGGACUGCAACUGACACUGAGGCUCGAAAGUGUGGGUAUCAAACAGG